CUACAAGGGCGUACGGGGGAUGCCUUGGCAUCUCGUGCCGAAGAAGGACGCGGUACACUGCGAAAAGUUCUGGUGAGGAGUGUGCAUCCGCAUGAGCCAGAGAUAUCCGAAUGGGGAAACCCACGUGGGGGCAUGCCCACGGACGAUGGCGUAAAUUCAUAGCGUCAUUGGGGGAACCGGGUGAACUGAAACAUCUAAGUAACCCGAGGAAAAGAGAAGAUUCCGCGAGUAGUGGCGAGCGAAAGUGGAGAAGCCCGCAGCACCAAAAGCCUAGUCGAAGGUUCUGGAAAGGACCGCGAGAAAGCGUGAAAGCCGCGUAGACGAAAGGCGAAUAAGCUGCAGAGAGUAACCCGGGACACGCUAACCCCGGGUGAAGAUGGGGGGUCCACCCUCCAAGGCUAAAUACACGAGAUGACCGAUAGGGCACAAGUACCGUGAGGGAAAGGUGAAAAGAACCCCGGCGAGGGGAGUGAAAUAGAAUCUGAAACCGUAUGCCUACAAACAGUCAAAGGGGCGGAAACGUCCUGAUGGCGUGCCUUUUGGAGAAUGAGCCAGCGAGUUAAUAGGUGUGGCAAGGUUAAGGCAGUCACAGCCGGAGCCAGAGCGAAAGCGAGUCUGAAUAGGGCGUUGGUCGCACUUAUUACACACGAAACCAGGUGAGCUACCCAUGUCCAGGUUGAAGCGAAGUUAACCCUUCGUGGAGGACCGAACCGUUCCGCGUUGAAAAGCGGCUGGAUGAGGUGUGGGUAGGGGUGAUAUGCCAAACGAACUUGGAGAUAGCUUGUUCUCCCCGAAAUCGCUUUAGGGCGAGCGUUGCGUGUUUAGCUGUGGAGGUAGAGCACUAGUUGGGCUAGGGGUCUUACGAUUACCAAACCUAUUUAAACUCCGAAUACCACAGCUCCAAGCGCAGCAGUUGGACAGUGGAUGAUGAGAUUCAUUGUCGAGAGGGAAACAACCCAGACCCUCGGCUAAGGUUCCUCAGACUUGGUUAAGUGGAAAACGAGGUGGGCGUGUUGAGACAGCCAGGAGGUUGGCUUAGAAGCAGCCACCCUUUAAAGAGUGCGUAAUAGCUCACUGGUCAAACGCGCCUGCGCGGAUAACGUAACGGAGCUAAACCAAGCACCGAAGCUAGGGAUUAAUGGUAGGGGAGCGUCGUGGUCUGGACGAAGGUCAAGGCGGUAAGCCGAACUGGAUGGACCACGAGUGAGGAUGCUGGCAUGAGUAGCGAGAAACAUGUGAGAACCAUGUUCGCCGUAAGUCUAAGGUUUCCGACGCAAGGUCAGUCCGCGUCGGGUGAGUCGAGCCUUAGUCGAGGCCGCAAGGCGUAGAUGAUGGACAACAGGUGAAGAUUCCUGUACCGCCUGAAUGGAGCGAAGCGGGGACGCAGAGAGGGAACACAGCCCCGUGCUGGACAUCGGGGUGCUAAGCGUGGUAGGCGAUGAGGGGGGUAGGCAAAUCCGCCCCCGGAGCUGAAGGCGCGACGGCGGGUCUUUAUGACCAGAAGUGUGUGGGCCUGACUGCCAAGAAAAGCCGCUAAGUGAUGAAGUUCGGGCGCUCGUACCGCAAACCGACACAGGUAGACGAGUAGAAGAUACCAAGGCGAACGAGGGAACCUUCGUUAAGGAACUAGGCAAACUAACCCCGUAAGUUCGCGAGAAGGGGUGCCGGCGCGAGCCGGUCGCAGUGAAAGGGCUCUGCUGACUGUUUAACAAAACCACAGGUCUCUGCCAAAGCGAAAGCUGAAGUAUAGGGGCUGAAGCCUGCCCAGUGCUGGAAGGUUAAGAGGAGGGGUUAGCCGCAAGGCGAGGCUCCGAAUUGAAGCCCCAGUGAACGGCGGCCGUAACUAUAACGGUCCUAAGGUAGCGAAAUUCCUUGUCGGGUAAGUUCCGACCCGCACGAAUGGCCUAACGAGUAGAGCACUGUCUCAACGAAGGACUCGGCGAAAUUGAAAUACGUGUGAAGAUGCGCGUUACCCGCAGUAGGACAAAAAGACCCCGUGGAGCUUUACUGCAGCUUGCCAUUGCGUUAGGACGCAGUCUGUGUAGGAUAGCUGGGAGGCUUGGAACCUGGAGCGCUAGCUUCGGGGGAGCCGACGGUGAAAUACCAGCCUGAGUGCGUUUUGACCCUAACCCGUGCCCUAAACUGGCAGGGAGACAGUGGCAGGUGGGCAGUUUGACUGGGGCGGUCGCCUCCUAAAGAGUACCGGAGGCGCCCAAAGGUUCCCUCAGGUGGAAUGGAAACCCACCUUCGAGUGUACAGGCAUAAGGGAGCUUGACUGCAAGACAAACACGUCGAGCAGAGACGAAAGUCGGGCUGAGUGAUCCCACGAUACCGUGUGGAAGGGUCGUGGCUUAACGGACAAAAGCUACCCCGGGGAUAACAGGCUGGUGAAGUCCAAGAGUUCACAUCGACGACUUCGCUCGGCACCUCGAUGUCGGCUCAUCGCAUCCUGGGGCUGGAUAAGGUCCCAAGGGUUGGGCUGUUCGCCCAUUAAAGCGGUACGUGAGCUGGGUUCAGACCGUCGUGAGACAGGUCGGUCUCUAUCCACUGUGGGCGUAGGGGGAUUGAGGGGAGCUGGCCCUAGUACGAGAGGACCGGGCUGGACGGAGCGCUGGUGUGCGAGUUGUCGUGCCAACGGCAUUGCUCGGUAGCUAACUCCGGAUGAGAUAACCGCUGAAAGCAUCUAAGUGGGAAGCUCGCCCUAAGAUGAGUCCCCCCACUGACUAGAUCAGGUAAGACCGCUGGGAGACUACCAGUUACAUAGGCGGGAGGUGUAAGCACAGCAAUGUGUGUAGCUAACCCGUACUAAUGGUCGAGGGCUU
rnacentral:rRNA from 1 species